rnacentral:rRNA from 1 species
UACAGAGGUCCCGAGCGUUGUUCGGAUUUACUGGGCGUAAAGGGUGCGUAGGCGGUCGGAUAAGUCUGAUGUGAAAUCUCAGAGCUCAACUCUGAAACUGCAUUGGAUACUAUUCGGGCUUGAGGUCUGGAGGGGGGACUGGAAUUCUCGGUGUAGCAGUGAAAUGCGUAGAUAUCGAGAGGAACACCAGUGGCGAAGGCGAGUCCCUGGACAGAUCCUGACGCUGAGGCACGAAAGCUAGGGGAGCAAACAGG